AGCUGUUCCCCUCUGGAGGUUUCCAACCUUCACAACUGACAGGGCCCAAGUUCGCUUGUGGCCCUCUUUUUUUGUUCCG
rnacentral:sRNA from 1 species